UCUGUCGUAACAAGUAUCCCUACCGGAAGGUGGGGAUGGAUCACCUCCUUUCUAAGGAUAAUAAAAAUCAUCAUCUUCAGUUUUGAAAGACUUAGAUUGAAAAAGUAAGUUUUUCUUUUUUUAAGCGCCAAAGGGCCUAUAGCUCAGUUGGUUAGAGCACACUCGCAGACAAGAGAGC
rnacentral:misc_RNA from 1 species